AACGAACGCUGGCGGCAUGCCUAACACAUGCGAGCCGAACGAGACCUUCGGGUCUAGUGGCGCACGGGUGCGUAACGCGUGGGAACCUGCCCUUAGGUUCGGAAUAACUCCCCGAAAGGGGUGCUAAUACCGGAUAAUGUCUUCGGACCAAAGAUUUAUCGCCUUUGGAUGGGCCCGCGUUGGAUUAGCUAGUUGGUAGGGUAAAAGCCUACCAAGGCGACGAUCCAUAGCUGGUCUGAGAGGAUGAUCAGCCACACUGGGACUGAGACACGGCCCAGACUCCUACGGGAGGCAGCAGUGGGGAAUAUUGGACAAUGGGCGAAAGCCUGAUCCAGCAAUGCCGCGUGAGUGAUGAAGGCCUUAGGGUUGUAAAGCUCUUUUACCCGGGAUGAUAAUGACAGUACCGGGAGAAUAAGCUCCGGCUAACUCCGUG
rnacentral:rRNA from 1 species